AUGGAUGACCAUGACAAUACUAGCUUCCCACUCUCCGAUUUCGGUCUUGGGGAUAUGGAGUAUAGUCUCUACCCUAGUAGCACCGAUCACACUACCAUGCCCCCACCCGAGCAACAUGCCUAUACCAUGCCCCCACCCGAGCAACCUGCCUAUACCGAUCAUCACACUCUUGAACCCCAUACCGAUCCGAGUGCCGAAGCCGAUGGUCACACCAAUUCGAGUAGUGGGACGGGUUCCUCCACCACCGUUGGUGUAAAGCAAAGAGGUCGUCGUAGAACCUCCGCGGUGUGGGAAUCAUUCGAUGAAGAAAUCUCCGUGGUGGACGGUGUCCGGAGGGUGGUUGCAAGGUGCAAAAGGUGCAAGAAGGAGUAUACCGGAGAAGCCAAGGGAGGAACCGGCCACCUGAAGAGGCAUGUGGAAAGCCACACCAAGGCGGAUGGAAAGAGCGCGUCGGGCUCGGCAGCUGUGCAAACGCAGCUCUCCUUCAACCCUGACGCACAUAGUGGUCCAAACAUUGCUGAAGCUAUACUAAAAGUUGUGAAUGAUUUUAAUCUUGCCGACAAGGUUUUCUCAAUAACUUUGGAUAAUGCUUCAGCAAACACGAGUGCAAUGAAUACUCUGACUCCUAUAUUCUCCAUAUAUGCUGCAUCCUUUUUAAUGCAUCAACGUUGUGCUUGCCAUAUCAUUAAUCUUAUUGCUAAAAUUACUUUGUCUGGGGUUUAUUACCCGACAUCUCCUUUGAUGGUGCAUACCCUAUUAGACAUUGCUAGUCAUCUAAAAGCAUAUGAAGGGAAUGCAUUGUUACUUAAUGUUGUUGCUGACAUGAAAACCAAGUAUUUAAAAUAUUGGCAGCAAAUUCCACUGUUGUAUGCAUUUGCAUUUAUCUUGGAUCCUAGAGCUAAACUUGAAGGGUAUCGUAGUGCACUCAAUGUACUAUCUGCAUCCCUAAGUUUAGAUUAUACUGACGACUUCAAUAAGGCUCGUGAGAAGCUUUUUGAAGUUUUUGCUAAGUAUGAGGAAAAAUAUGCCGGAGUUCGAAUGCAACGACCUCCACCAGCACCUACUGCAGGUAAAAAGAGAGGAGCAUGGAGCAAGAUCUUUGGUUCUUCAUCCUCCUCAACCGCGGGAAGCUCUUCCACGUCAAUAUCUGUGCGUCAAGGUGGCAGGGAGUUAGCGAAGUACCUCAACAGUGACAAAGUCAUGUACGAUUUAGAUAGUGAGGAAGACUUCAACUUACUACAGUGGUGGCAAGAACACAAGCUUAAAUUUCUGGUGCUCUCCAUAUUAGCACGUGAUGUGUUAUCGGUGCCUAUUUCUACGGUGUCAUCGGAGUCAGCUUUCAGCCUUGCUGGAAGAAUAAUUGAGGAGAGAAGAACUAGUCUUGCCCCAGAUAUGGUGAGAACACUAAUGUCCGUCAAAGAUGGGGAGUUAUCAAGAAGGAGAGCGCAACACACUGCAGAAAACACAGAACUACUUGCCAUGUUUGAAGAAAUGAACUUUGAAGAAGACCCGGAAGAUUAG
rnacentral:rRNA from 1 species